GGGGAUUUAGCUCAGCUGGGAGAGCGCAUCGCUGGCAGCGAUGAGGUCAGGGGUUCGAUCCCCCUAAUCUCCACCA
rnacentral:tRNA from 1 species